rnacentral:rRNA from 1 species
UACGUAGGGAGCAAGCGUUGUCCGGAAUCAUUGGGCGUAAAGCGCGCGUAGGUGGCCCGGUAAGUCCGCUCUGAAAGUCACAGGCUCAACCUGUGAAAGCGGGUGGAUACUGCCGGGCUAGAGUCCGGAAGAGGAGAGUGGAAUUCCUGGUGUAGCGGUGAAAUGCGCAGAUAUCAGGAAGAACACCCGUGGCGAAGGCAGCUCGCUGGGACGGUACUGACGCUGAGGCGCGAAAGCGUGGGGAGCGAACAGG